UGAGGGUCCGGGCCACUCUUGACCGUGAGCACGGCUGAUAUAUCAGUUUUAGACACUUUACAGAGGUUGUACACUUUUACCACAAGUCGCGUAAACGUUCAGAAGAACUUCAGACCCAACCAUGCUAUGCAAAAGUAGGCACUUAUCACACUACCGAUGUGUGAUUGCAUAGGGACGCUAUGAGGCCUUUACAAAGAUUCCCUAAUAAGUGGUAACCUGCUAAGGUUUUGAUGUCUGGCGAGCAUAAAUCUCCCUAGUAGGCAUAGUAUCUUAGCAAAGUUCACUUCCCAAGACGACCAGGCUAUACAACAACUCAGUCCCCC
rnacentral:lncRNA from 1 species